rnacentral:rRNA from 1 species
ACGACGCUGGCGGCGUGCUUAACACAUGCAAGUCGAACGGUGACGAGGAGCUUGCUCCUCUGAUCAGUGGCGAACGGGUGAGUAACACGUGAGCAACCUGCCCCAGACUCUGGGAUAACAGUUGGAAACAGCUGCUAAUACCGGAUACGAGACGGAGAGGCAUCUCUACCGUCUGGAAAGUUUUUCGGUCUGGGAUGGACUCGCGGCCUAUCAGCUAGUUGGUGAGGUAAAUGGGCUCACCAAGGCGACGACGGGUAGCCGGCCUGAGAGGGCGACCGGCCACACUGGGACUGAGACACGGCCCAGACUCCUACGGGAGGCAGCAGUGGGGAAUAUUGCACAAUGGGCGAAAGCCUGAUGCAGCGACGCCGCGUGAGGGAUGAAGGCCUUCGGGUUGUAAACCUCUUUCAGCAGGGAAGAAGCGAAAGUGACGGUACCUGCAGAAGAAGCACCGGCUAACUACGUG